rfam:Helianthus annuus linkage group 6, whole genome shotgun sequence.
UGCUUGCGUUAAGGAAUUAUGAAUCUAAUCACAUGUCAGACUUCAGAGAUUCUUUUAAACAAAGAAAUCAAUGAGAUUAAAGUUCAUAAAUCUGAGCUGCUG